rnacentral:lncRNA from 1 species
AUUAGCAGAAGAGGCUGAAGAAGAAAAGAUAGAAGAUGAGAAAGAAGAGGAUGCAGAGAAGAAGAAAGCAGGAGGGUCUACUGGUACUGAGAAAGAGAAAGAAGAGGAUGCAGAGAAGGAGAAAGCAGAAGGGUCUGCUGGUAGUGUGAAGGAGAAAGAAGAGGAAACAGUGAAGGAGAAAGCAGGAGGGUCUGCUGGUAGUGUGAAGGAGAAAGAAGAGGAAACAGUGAAGGAGAAAGCAGGAGGGUCUGCUGGUAGUGUGAAGGAGAAAGAUGAGGAAACAGUGAAGGAGAAAGCAGGAGGGUCUGCUGGUAGUGUGAAGGAGAAAGAUGAGGAAACAGUGAAGGAGAAAGCAGGAGGGUCUGCUGGUAGUGAGAAGGAGAAAGAAGAGGAAGCAGUGAAGGAGAAAGCAGGAGUGUCUGCUGAUGGUGAGGAGGUGAAAUCCUAAACUCCUUUCUGAUCACAUGGCACAUACUGAGACUCUCUCCCCCUUAGCCUAAAUGUUGUUGUAUGAUGCUUAGUAGAC